rnacentral:rRNA from 1 species
UACAGAGGGUGCGAGCGUUGUCCGGAAUCACUGGGCGUAAAGGGCGCGUAGGCGGUGGCUUAAGCGUGCGGUGAAAGCUCGGGGCUCAACCCCGAGUCGGCCGUGCGAACUGGGCUCACUGGAGCAUAGUAGAGGCAGGUGGAAUUCCGGGUGUAGCGGUGGAAUGCGUAGAGAUCCGGAAGAACACCGGUGGCGAAGGCGGCCUGCUGGGCUAUGGCUGACACUGAGGCGCGACAGCGUGGGGAGCAAACAGG